UACGGAGGGUGCUAGCGUUGUUCGGAAUGACUGGGCGUAAAGGGCGCGUAGGCGGCUCGUGAAGUCGGGUGUGAAAGCCCGGGGCUCAACCCCGGAACGGCAUCCGAUACUGGCGGGCUUGAGACCGGGAGAGGAGGGUGGAAUACCCAGUGUAGAGGUGAAAUGCGUAGAUAUCGUAAGGAAGACCAGUGGCGAAGGCGGGUCUCUGGACAGUUCCUGACGCUGAGGCACGAAGGCCAGGGGAGCAAACGGG
rnacentral:rRNA from 1 species